UCUUUGAUGGUCUAGUGGUCAUGAUUUCCGCUUGUCAAUUCACAUUGCAAAGCGCGGGAGACCGGGGUUCGAUUCCCCGUCAGAGAG
rfam:Glarea lozoyensis ATCC 20868 chromosome Tnknown GLAREA7, whole genome shotgun sequence.